GGGAUGUGAUGAGUGGUCAUUACUCGCUUCUACAACGUGCGAGAAGGGUGUCUGCCCCAAGCCUGGUUACGACAAUGGGGCACCCCUCUUUAACCAUCUGAUCCC